ACCAGGUUGGAGAAGGCUUAGAGGAGAAGGAGAAGAUGGCACUCCAUCGGCCUCUGAUAGAAGAACUGGAGUUAACUGCGAAGGAAAGUUAGAAGGGCAUUUAUGGCAGAGGAAUCAGUGUGAGUGCAGGAUGGGAUGUUCAGCCUCCUAUUACUCACAGCCCUGAGCACUGACAGCACAGUGGUGAGAUACCUAGAUGUUCCCGUAGCCCUUGCCCCACACGAAUUCCCAAGACAUGCCUCUCUUUGUUGACCUUCACUGGCCACAAGGCGGCCGCCCCUACACAAGUCGCUCCCGGGAGCUCUGGAUAAACUUCCAGCCUCGAAAGAAAGGACACACCCCCACGGAGCCACUGCCUCUGAGACCAUUUGGCUCUGAUUGGCUGCAAGACUUGCGCCUUCAGGCUAGCCACUCAGAGGCGCCCGCCAGUUCCCCCUUGCUUCUGAUUGGCUGAGAGGAGCGCAUGCUCAGACAUACCACGGGCCACAAGCUUGGAGGCAGAACGGCCGUUAACUGGCCGGGGUCGUCAUGCGGUUUCUUUAGAGACUCGCUGGUGUGUGACAGCACAUAACCUGCGAGAGGCCCUAGUAUGCAGAUGAUGAUGUGACAAUGAAUUUGGAGUUGCCUUCAACUUUGGGGGAAACAGAAGAAACUGAAGCACAAAACAGAAACUUAGAGAAGCUGAAAGAAGCUAAAGUAUUUAAAAACAUAUUAAAUGGGUAUCACUCCUUAUCUUGAAAUGUUCUCAAAUGUCAUAGCACGAGACAACCACGGUGGCAUUGUGAAUAUAAGCCCAAAAGAAGAUGGCAGCAACAGACCGUGGUACAUGUCUGCACCCUUUUCCAGUCUCCACGGCCACCACCUGCCUCCACAGGCUCCACCUGAGGAUUCUCAGAGCUGCAGGAACGAGAGUUUUUUCCAGCUUCUAUCCUCAUGGUGACUCCCCAUGCAGUUACUUGAGAGCUGUGGUAAACCAUUUCUCUGUAAUAAAAAUACCCAUGAUACUCUUCUCUACUGCCUCUUUGAAAUGUAAGAUGGCAGUAUUAAAAAAAAAAAGAUGGCAGUAUUAAAAUUGCUUAUAUUGAAUGUACUGUCAUUUCCAAAAUUCUUCACAUGGCCAAAUAAAAAUAUUCUCUUUGAGUAGGCAAA